GCUCGCAUGGCUUAGUUGGUAAAGCGCAUGACUAGUACUUGGUUGUCAUCAUGAGAUCCUCGGUUCGAAUCCGAGUGCGAGCA